CAGCAUGAUGGAAAACAAGAGAGGUUGUACCAGACUGACCAGAGAAAGAUAUUGCAAAAGAACGUCCACUACUGUCUGGAA